CCAAUAAGUAAAAAAGCACAAUUGUAAAUGCAGCAAAAAAGCAGCCUAACAACCCCCUCCCACAAGUCUCUAAUAUAGGGCUAAUCCCUGAGUCCAUCUGUGAUCCGAUGGGCAUCUUCUUUCUUCUAAUUGGACCUGUGUGGGUUGGAAUCACCUGUUCAGGUUACUGCCGACUCCCUUCUAUUCAUCACAGCUCUUAUUUGCAUGUAUUCAUGUAACUGGAAAUGUUACUCAUUCCAACAUUAAACUUCCGUGGGUUCCAUAUAACCGGAAGUGGUAUGUGGUCCAACUGUAGUUUUCUGUUUGUUCCAUAUCAGGCUUGCAUCUAUAAUACCUAGUAGAAGUAUAAGGACCCACUGGAAAUUCUCUUAUAGAAGGAGUGCCCCUUGCAUGGGGACUUGCAUAAAAGCCAGUGUGGCACCAUGAAACUUG